rnacentral:tRNA from 1 species
AGCCCCGUGGUGUAGCGGUAAGCAUGCGAGGCUCUGGACCUCGUGGCCCAGGUUCGAAUCCUGGCGGGGCUA